CAGUAGCCACGGGAAUACGGAGGGAGCUAGCGUUGUUCGGAAUUACUGGGCGUAAAGCGCACGUAGGCGGCUACUCAAGUCGGGGGUGAAAGCCCGGGGCUCAACCCCGGAACUGCCCUCGAAACUAGGUAGCUAGAAUCUUGGAGAGGUCAGAGGAAUUCCGAGUGUAGAGGUGAAAUUCGUAGAUAUUCGGAAGAACACCAGUGGCGAAGGCGACUGACUGGACAAGUAUUGACGCUGAGGUGCGAAAGCGUGGGGAGCAAACAGGAUUAGAUACCCGCGUAGUCCCUGUCUCUUAUAC
rnacentral:rRNA from 1 species